GCUGUACUGUGCUUUUUGUGUUUGAUGGACAGGUGGCAAACCUAACCUUUUCUUGGGAAAACUCAAUGUAUUUUCUCUAAGAACCAUUUCACUUUGUAGAAAGGAAGGCUUCAAGGAGUAUUGCAAACUAUUAAAAAGAAAAGAGCUUUAUCAGAGCCUUCAUUGAAUAAUAAUGAUUGUUCCUGUUUAGUGCAAAUGAGGUGCAGCAGGGAGCUCUGGGAAAAUAGGGUUGUCAUGGUAACUGAUAACACUUUUUCCCUGCUGGAAGUCAAGAUAGUCAAAGAGGCUACACAAGGCCAUGUUUCCUUAGAGACUUUUCCUAAGUAAAGGAAAUAAAGAAAAAGGGAAAUAAAAGGAAGAUCUGUCACUCGGUUGAACUCUGUUCUGCCCACAAAGAUAACAGACUUCUAAGGAAAUGCUGUUUUGCAUAAUUAGCUGACUCAGUAACUGUUUAGGAUUAAGAAGUCCCAUAUACAAUGGAGCAUGAGGUGCAUCUUGAACCUCUGGGCAUCUCUCAGUCUAUCCUGGGAAUACCUACCUACCCAUCACUUAGCAAAAGCUCUUCCUCACCUGAAACAAGCUGGUGUGGAAUGUCUGGUGGCCCUGUUCAAAGUCCCUGAUAAUUUCUUCACCUACACAAGUGGUCAAGGAGUACACCUUCCUAUGAGCAUGUAAAAUGGCAGCUCUCUGCAGAUUCCUAUUAUGGUGCCAAAGGUUUACACUAAAUGCCACACUGGUCUUUUGCGAAAUGGAGUCUUUCCAGCUGAGAACGGGGAUCCCCAUGCCCAGUAUAGACUUGGUAAGUGAGCUGAUUUUGUAUAUAUUACAUGUAUUUUAAUUUCCGAAGGGCCGUUUGCAAGCAUUUCUUUGGGGAACAUUCCUUUAGUGGAAAGAACAACUCAGAAACAGGAGAGUAGCAUCCCCCAGCUCUUCCUCCAGUCGGAUGGGUGACUUUAAGCACGCCAUGAACGUCUUUGUGCCUCAGUUUCCCUUACCAUUAUUGCCUACUUCGGAAUGUGGUUAGGGGUAAUGAACAGCGUGUAAGAAAGUAAGAAAAUGAUGUGUGGACCAUUGGGCAUUGUGGAAAUGAUGUGAAGAUGUUGCAAGCCUGUCGGUUUUCUGUCUUGCUCUGUGGGAUGGGUACAGUCAGUAUAACGGGAAUAAUUUGUUCCCCUAAAGAAUUUUGUUCCUAAGGAGUGAGGUGAGAUUAGCCAGGGCCAGAUCCUGUGAUCACUAUAACUUUUAUAUCAGGAAAAUGAGGCUGUGGGAGGGCAGAUUAACCUUUGUUAAAUGCCUGCGUGCCAGUCAAUGCCCUGGACCUCAGUGAACCUCCGCGGUGACUUAACGUGUUAUUUGUGUCACGAUUACCUUUCCU
rnacentral:lncRNA from 1 species